CACGUAGGGUGCGAGCGUUGUCCGGAAUUAUUGGGCGUAAAGAGCUCGUAGGCGGUGUGUCGCGUCGGCCGUGAAAACCUGCAGCUUAACUGUGGGCUUGCGGUCGAUACGGGCAUCACUGGAGUUCGGCAGGGGAGACUGGAAUUCCUGGUGUAGCGGUGAAAUGCGCAGAUAUCAGGAGGAACACCGGUGGCGAAGGCGGGUCUCUGGGCCGAUGACUGACGUGAGGAGCGAAAGCGUGGGGGAGCGAACAGG
rnacentral:rRNA from 1 species